GAUGAACGCUGGCGGCGUGCCUAAUACAUGCAAGUCGAGCGAACGGACGAGAAGCUUGCUUCUCUGAUGUUAGCGGCGGACGGGUGAGUAACACGUGGAUAACCUACCUAUAAGACUGGGAUAACUUCGGGAAACCGGAGCUAAUACCGGAUAAUAUUUUGAACCGCAUGGUUCAAAGGUGAAAGACGGUCUUGCUGUCACUUAUAGAUGGAUCCGCGCUGCAUUAGCUAGUUGGUAAGGUAACGGCUUACCAAGGCAGCGAUGCAUAGCCGACCUGAGAGGGUGAUCGGCCACACUGGAACUGAGACACGGUCCAGACUCCUACGGGAGGCAGCAGUAGGGAAUCUUCCGCAAUGGGCGAAAGCCUGACGGAGCAACGCCGCGUGAGUGAUGAAGGUCUUCGGAUCGUAAAACUCUGUUAUUAGGGAAGAACAUAUGUGUAAGUAACUGUGCACAUCUUGACGGUACCUAAUCAGAAAGCCACGGCUAACUACGUG
rnacentral:rRNA from 1 species